AAAGACGUUCUCAAUAAUGGACGUGUUUCUUGGGGUGUGGAUUUUUGUACACUUACUGAAAGGGUCUCUCACCAUCUCCUUGACCCCAUCCACAUACUCAGAGGUAAAGACUCCAGGCCAGUCUCUAAGCAUCACGUGUCACGGUUCAGGCUACACGUUUUCGAGCUACUGGAUUCACUGGGUGCGUCAGGCUCCUGGAAAGGGCUUGGAAUGGCUGGGAUAUGAUGGUAGCUCAAGCUAUGCAAACAGUGUGAAGGGUCGCCUGAACCUGAACAGAGACAGCUCCAACAGCAGGUCAUCUCUCACGCUGAAUGAUCUCAGAGCGGAGGAUACCGCUGUGUAUUACUGCGCCCGAGACUCACAGUGUGAGAGGGGAACAGGGCAGCUGCACACUAGAUUUCAUGAAAAAUCUGAAAUAAACUGGCAUCCCGCCCAGGGCAUAACCCAACCCGAGAUGGACCAGCACCCCGCCCAGGAUGUACCCCCACCUGAGAUGGACCGGCACCCCGCCCAGGAUGUACCCUCACCUGAGAUGGACCGGCAGCCCGCCCAGGAUGUACCCCCACCUGAGAUGGGCUCCAGACCCCCUGAGGCCCUGAUCAGGAUAAGCGGCUGGGAGAUGAAAGGAUGGAUUUCUUGA